rnacentral:lncRNA from 1 species
AUUCCUGAUUCUCUCAUACCUACUGCUUCCUCCUUACCUUCUGGAGAAAAUGAUGUUAUUCCCGAUUCUCCUUCUUCUAUCCCUCCACCUUCUCCUCCCAUUCUGCCCUCUUCCUCUUCUACUCAUGUCCUUAGAAAAUCUACCAGAACUCAUAAUCCUCCAUCAUAUCUUAAGGACUAUCCAUGCCAACUUCCAGCCUUCUCUGGCUCUUCCUCUUCCUCCUUGGAAUCUGAACCACUGUAUUA